GACGAACGCUGGCGGCGUGCUUAACACAUGCAAGUCGAACGGUGAAGCGCCUUCCUUUUUGGUGGGUGUGGAUGAGUGGCGAACGGGUGAGUAACACGUGAGUAACCUGCCCCCUUCUUCUGGAUAACCGCAUGAAAGUGUGGCUAAUACGGGAUAUUCUGGGUCUGUCGCAUGAUGGGUCUGGGAAAGAUAUUGUUUCGGUGGGGGAUGGGCGCGCGGCCUAUCAGCUUGUUGGUGGGGUGAUGGCCUACCAAGGCGGUGACGGGUAGCCGGCCUGAGAGGGUGGACGGUCACACUGGGACUGAGACACGGCCCAGACUCCUACGGGAGGCAGCAGUGGGGAAUAUUGCACAAUGGGCGCAAGCCUGAUGCAGCGACGCCGCGUGAGGGAUGGAGGCCUUCGGGUUGUGAACCUCUUUCGCCAGUGAAGCAGGCCUGCCUCGUUUGUGGGUGGGUUGACGGUAGCUGGAUAAGAAGCGCCGGCUAACUACGUG
rnacentral:rRNA from 1 species